GACGAACGCUGGCGGCGUGCCUAAUACAUGCAAGUCGAGCGAAGUUUUUCUGGUUCUUGCACUAGAAAAACUUAGCGGCGAACGGGUGAGUAACACGUAAAGAACCUGCCUCAUAGACUUGGACUACUAUUGGAAACGAUAGCUAAUACCGGAUAACAGUAUUUCUCGCAUGAGAUAUAUUUAAUAGUUGGUUAUGCUAACACUAUGAGAUUUCUUUGCGGUUCAUUAGCUUGUUGGUGUGGUAAAGGCCCACCAAGGCGACGAUGCAUAGCCGACCUGAGAGGGGGAUCGGAGACACUGGAAGUGAGACACGGCCCAGAAGCCUAAGGGAGGCAGCAGAAGGGAAUGUUCCGCAAUGGGCGAAAGCAUGACGGAGAAACGCCGCGUGAGAGAAGAAGGAUUUCGGUUCGUAAAGAUCUGUUGUUAGGGAAGAAUGGAUAUGUAGUAAAAAUAAAUGUAAGAGACGGUAACUAACAAGAAAGCAACGGCUAACUACGUG
rnacentral:rRNA from 1 species